rnacentral:rRNA from 1 species
CGAACGCUGGCGGCGUGCUUAACACAUGCAAGUCGAACGGAAAGGCCCUGCUUGCAGGGUCCUCGAGUGGCGAACGGGUGAGUAACACGUGGGUGAUCUGCCCUGCACUUCGGGAUAAGCCUGGGAAACUGGGUCUAAUACCGGAUAGGAGCCAUUUUUAGUGUGAUGGUUGGAAAGUUUUUUCGGUGUAGGAUGAGCUCGCGGCCUAUCAGCUUGUUGGUGGGGUAAUGGCCUACCAAGGCGGCGACGGGUAGCCGGCCUGAGAGGGUGGACGGCCACAUUGGGACUGAGAUACGGCCCAGACUCCUACGGGAGGCAGCAGUGGGGAAUAUUGCACAAUGGGCGCAAGCCUGAUGCAGCGACGCCGCGUGGGGGAUGACGGCCUUCGGGUUGGAAACUCCUUUCGCUAGGGACGAAGCUUUUUGUGACGGUACCUAGAUAAGAAGCACCGGCUAACUACGUG